UAAAACAAAGCAUUGCGAUGGCCCUCUUA
rnacentral:sRNA from 1 species